rnacentral:rRNA from 1 species
UACGUAGGUGGCAAGCGUUGUCUGGAAUUAUUGGGCGUAAAGCGCGCGCAGGCGGUCUCUUAAGUCUGAUGUGAAAGCCCCCGGCUUAACCGGGGAGGGUCAUUGGAAACUGGGAGACUUGAGUGCAGGAGAGGGAAGCGGAAUUCCAUGUGUAGCGGUGAAAUGCGUAGAGAUAUGGAGGAACACCAGUGGCGAAGGCGGCUUCCUAUCCUGUAACUGACGCUGAGGCGCGAAAGCGUAGGGAGCAAACAGGAUUAGAUACCCGUGUA